rnacentral:rRNA from 1 species
GCCAAACAGCUAGCCUGAACAUAACGAUAACCAAAAAAUAUAAAUAAGAACCCCAUCUCUAGAUACUAAAACAUUUUGCCUUCCUAGUAUAGGUG